GAUGAACGCUAGCGGCAGGCUUAAUACAUGCAAGUCGAGGGGCAGCAUGAUUGUAGCAAUACAAUUGAUGGCGACCGGCAAACGGGUGCGGAACACGUACACAACCUCCCAAUAAGUGGGGAAUAGCCCAGAGAAAUUUGGAUUAAUACACCGUAACAUAACGAUGUGGCAUCACAUUGUUAUUAUAGAUUUUUCGCUUAUUGAUGGGUGUGCGGCUGAUUAGAUAGUUGGAGGGGUAACGGCCCACCAAGUCUACGAUCAGUAGCUGAUGUGAGGCGAGUAUCAGCAACACCGGCACUGCGACACGGGCCCGACUCCUACGGGAGGCAGCAGUAAGGAAAAUUGGACAAUGGACGCAAGUCUGAUCCAGCCAUGCCGCGUGAAGGACUAAGGUCCUCUGGAUUGUAAACUUCUUUUAUAAGGGACGAAAAAAGGCUUUUCUAAGUCGUCUGACGGUACCUUAUGAAUAAGCACCGGCUAACUCCGUGCCAGCAGCCGCGGUAACAC
rnacentral:rRNA from 1 species